GUCCUGGCAGUAAACGGUGCACGUUUGGUGUGGGAGGAUUCGACCCCUUCCGUGCCGGAGCUAACGCGUUAAACGUGCCGCCUGGGGAGUACGGUCGCAAGAUUAAAACUCAAAGAAAUUGACGGGGGCCCGCACAAGCGGUGGUGUAUGUGGCUUAAUUCGAUGCAACGCGAAGAACCUUACCUAGCCUUGACAUGCAUCUCUAAGUCGGUGAAAGCCGGCGAGUGUAGCAAAUACACAAUUUGCACAGGUGCUGCAUGGCUGUCGU
rnacentral:rRNA from 1 species